AUAAGCCUUUGGAGUCCAUUCCUGCCCUUUCCUUGGCCAGCAUUGAACACUAUUGAGGAGAACUUAGCACCAAAAUAAGACGUUCAAGACUUUCUAACGGAACCUCCAGUGUUCUCAAUCUGAUCUGACAGAAAAGAAAGAUUGUAAAUCUUUCCAACCCAUUCAACCAUUUAUGGGACCUCCACCUUUUUUUAAAAUCGAAGAAAAUUUUUCUUCCGCAGCUCAGAACCGAAAUUAAACAAGCUUUCAGCUGCAAAGUCAUGGAGAAACUCUACUCUAGCUUGAGGCUCUUGGAACAUGCCUCCUGGAAGCACUUCCACCCCACACCGCCCUACUGGAAUGGCACCACGGAAGGAAAAAGAAAAUGUUGCCUCCUUUUAUUGCUUGCUUCAACUGCCUCUUUAGUUGCUGCCGUAUUUUAGCUGAACCAAGGUUCAAGUUACGCAGGCUGUCACGACUGCGGGCAAGGUGCAGCCUGGGCGCUUUCCCGUGCAAUAAGGAAAUUCGCAUCUGCUCCUAAGGCAGGAACUCAGUCACCCCACCCGCCGGGAGCGCCCAGCUCCGCCCCAGCCGUGACCCGGGUUCCUGCCGCGGCCUCCCCGCGGCGCCCAGAGCUCCCCCACGUGCGCGGUGGCACUGCCGGGCUGGACGCGCCCAGCUGGCCUCUGCUCUGAAGACUCGCACCGAAACCAAGUGCAGACCUCUCCGCCCCCAGACGGGUCGUCGCUGCCACGUUUUCAGAAGAGUCCGCCCUUCGCUUGGUUUUCUGGGCGCUUAGAAAAGCAAAGCGUCCAAGCGUGCAAGCGUGCAAGCGUGCAAGCUGGAGAGCUUCCCGCGCGCCCUAACGCGCGCCGGACGCGGCAUCUCUUGGACACCGAGCCACGCGUCCCCUCUACCCGCACGCCGGAGCGCAAGGGCUACGUAGAGAGCCGGGGGACCCUGUGAUUUCAAACUGCGGACAACUCCUGCUUCUUUCCCCGGGCCACGACUAGGUGCCACUUUCCGUCCGCCCCGCCGCCACGGCCAAGCCGGGGUCACCUUGGCCCGCGUGCUUUUCAUUCCAGCCACCCUCUCCCUCGUGCUCCCUGCCGCCACCCACUCUCAGCUGGGAGUUACUGCGGGUCACCGCCGCCCCGGGCCUUCCCUCCCGGGUCCCGCCCCGCACACCCAGUGGACCCUCCCCGGCCCUGCCCGCGGCCGCAGCGGGAGUGCAGGGAACUGCGCGGGAAUCCGGGAGGAAGAGACGCCCCAGAGUGCUCGGAAGGAGAAUGCCUUCCCUAUUUCUCCCGAGCCCACGCCCGUGGCCCUUCUCGGGUUCCAGAGCUCGGGCAGAGAGAGAUGCGCCCCCGCUCAACUUCCUCUUUCCCGUCUCUCGGGGGCUCUGGAAGUGGCCGCGCAGCCGCGUCUGCAGGAGCCUGCCUCGCCAGGGAAGCACCGUUUCUAUCGAUUUGUGUUAAAUAUGCAACUGCUCUGUGACCACCAAUUUUCCAAGAAGAGGAAGUUAUGCUGUUAAACUACCUUUGGCCAAUACUUUAAACCACUCCUCUUUUUUUUUUCCCCAAAUCGAUUUUAUUGAUACAUAUUAAUAAAUCAUAAAAUUCAACUCCCCUUUUGAUGGAUCCUGUGUAUAAACUUGCAGGUUUUUCUUUUUGUUGUGUUUUAUUUUUUGUUGGUGGUGGUUUUAUUUUUUAUGUUUUAUUUUUCCAGAAUCCUCUAGGUCACAAUGUCAACCUAGGGACCUAUGGACACACAUUGCUUUGCAGCUUGUGCUUGUACAAUCCAGCAUUUUUAAUACUGGCAAGACGGAUUCAUUUUUGUGAUGGAGAAAAGCCCAUUUACUCUAACUAGUUUCUCAUUUUUUGCUUCAUGUAAAUUAUACCCAAUCCUCAAACUCAUCAUAGAAUACAAGGAUAACUUCUGACCUUCAGAUACAGUAAGUGCAGGUCCAAUGAUUUAAAAGUGUAUUGAGUUAAGCUAAGUGAAAGAAGGCAUUCACAAAAGACACAUUCUGAAGGAUUACGUGGAUGUAAAAUGCCUGGAAGAGGCAAAUAGAGAGACAGGAGGUAGACCAGGUGUCAGGGAAAAGAGAUUGGAGAGGAGGGAGAGAAGAUGGGGUGACUGCUAGUCAGAAUAAGACUUUUGGGGGAUGUGAUGAAAGUGUUUUGAAAUUUGUUUAUGGUGACAAUUGCACAACUCUGCAAGUACACUAGAAGCCAUUGCAUUGUGCACUUAAAAGGGUCAAUAAAGCUUUUUAAAGAAGUAUACCAAGGUAUGCAAAUAAAGUAAUAAGAAAAAAGCACAUUGGAUAUUGUCAUUUUCUGCUGAAAUGCUCAGAAUACUUUCAAAUUUAUUUUUUAUCUUAAGUAAAGCAAAACUGUAUUUUUAAUCCCUUUCCCCCACCCAUGUUAACUUUGCAAGAAACUGCAUUUGUACAGUAAUUUAAAUGACAAUAGAAAUAUGUGAAUAACUUUAUACUGCACAUAAUCUUGGAACCCAAAACUUUAAUAUUCGGCGAUGUGUUCCACGCACACAAACCAAAAUUUCACAAGUUGAGGAUGGUUAUUGUCAAAACACAGCAAGUUGUGAAAUGUGUAACAAUAUGAUGCUAGAAAUAAAAAGUUCAAGUCCCUAAAUGGUAUGCCUA
rnacentral:lncRNA from 1 species